CGCCCGUUAGCUAAGUUGGUUAGAGCGUCGUGCUAAUAACGCGAAGGUCGUGGGUUCGAUCCCCCCACGGGCCA
rnacentral:tRNA from 1 species